rnacentral:lncRNA from 1 species
CAUGACCAUAAAAUUAAUUUAAAUUUCACUAGAACAUAUAUUAUUAUCGAAAUCCGGCGCUAUGCGCCGGACUACCCUAGUAUAUAUAUAUAUAUAUAUAUUAUACGCUUCCAAUAAGCAUCUCCUUCUUAAUAUAUUUUAUAAAAUUCGCUUUUACGCUUCCAAAGGUAUCUGCUUCCGCGCAUCUUCCUGUGAUUCCAUGCAGCAUAAGUUGCAGAAUUUGUUCGAUUCCAAGUUCUUUUAACAAUUUUGCGAAUCCACUUCCUUCUCACGGUUAGCAACUGACAUGGCCCUUAUUCUGCCCCUGCAGACGAGUGUGAUACAGUGCCUUGCUUUUUCAUUUUCCAGGCAUUAGGUGAUCCUCUUUGAAAUGCUUUAACAUGUGAGAGUUAUCACCACAUAUGAGAAGGUAUCGGCAUAUAUCAACACACCCAACUCAAUAUUUUUGCACGAGUAUGAGAAGAGUGAGUAGUCUUCAUAAAACUAAAAAAAAUCCAAAACGAAGUACCGCAUCUGAGAGAGGCAAAGAAUGCUAAUGUAAAUGAAAUCUGAAAGAUGCAUUGAAUUGUGUGUACAAUAUAUAGACUGUGUAAAUAUACUUGCCUCAGUACCCUACUUGUAAUGUAUUAUAUAUAUGGUGUAAUCUCAGUAUAAUAAGAUCAUUCAAUCAUUAACCUCUAUUGAGUACAUUCAACAAACCUGAGACAAGAGAUCCAAGUUUGUGAUGUCAAGACUCAGGAUGAUCCAGAUAAGAGCAGAGGAGAUGUAUUUGUUUCUGAGCGUUUUCUGCAGAGAAUAUAACAGUUAUAUUGGGAGUUUGUCUCUCAGGUUUAAAAGAGGAGUAAGGUGAAGCCAAGUCUCCUUUUGGAUCGGUCAGUGAUUAGUUUAAUCAAUCUGAUAGAGAGAUUGGUUACAA